rnacentral:tmRNA from 1 species
GGGGAUGCAAAGGUAUCGACAAGAUUAUUGUUUUUCCAAACGCAGUAGGGUCAGCCCUUUAUAGCUCGAGGUAUUGUUACAUGACAACACUAAAUCUGAAGCAGUUCAACUUUCUGACUAUGAAGUUGCAUUGUUUUCAAGUCAAAACCAAUCUAACUACGCUUUUGUAGCAUAAGAUAAUUUGACUCUAAAGUAUUUUUGGUUUUAGAUUUUUACCAAAUUUACAAAGAAUAAAAAUCUAUGUUUCUUAUUUGAUGAUGGUAAGGAAAUGAAAUAAUAAUUAUCUAUAUUAUGAAUGGUUGUCAUAUUACCAUAAUUCAUAAUGAAAGCCAAAAAUAUGACUAAACUGUAGUGUUUGUUUAAAUCUUAAUUUUGGAAAGGAGUUCGACUCUCCUCAUCUCCACCA